GCAGGUGUAGCUCAGUGGUAGAGCAUGUGAUUGGCAUGCAUGAGGCCCUGGGUUCAAUCCCCAGUGUCUCCA
rnacentral:tRNA from 1 species